GUCCACAGCCAUAUCACCCUGCAGCCCAAGACCGGUUACUCACUGAAGCUAAGCAGGGCUGAGCCUGGUUAGUACCUGGAUGGGAGACCACUAGGGAACACUAGGUUGCUGUUGGAA
rnacentral:rRNA from 1 species